AUUGAAAAUGACAUACAAGACGUCCUGCACAAUUACCUUUGCCAAUUAAACCACCAACCUCCGCCACUUAAAGAUAUCUCUCACACCUCCUUAGGUCCACAACAUGACCUUCUCAUGAUACCCACUCCAUCUGCCAUAUCUAAACCUAAGUCCACUGGCAUCAUCAUCAAAGAAGAACGACCAGACUACACUGACUUCCUUUAUCAAGACUCACAAGAUCCAUGGGAAGAUUUUCUUCCUCUGAGCCAACACCUCCACCAGUUUCCCCAACCAACAAUGGAUGAACCUGGCCCCUCCGUACCAGGACCCUCAACCCAAUCUUCCAAACGACCAGCUCAACCAUCCAAAGUUGAAAAAGCCACCCAAACUUCCCCUAAGUAUACUCCGAAGUGUACUCCCAGAGACUAUAAUUGCCCUUAUCCACCAUGCCGUGGUCCCUCCUGUAAGCAUCCAAAGCUCUCCAAAACUUUCUUCCAAAAGCAUCCUCACUCUGGUGAUACGGACCCAGAUGAGACCGAAAGCUCAUCCGAAGACGAAUACAUGAAUCUCCGCUCUCCAUAAAGUUGUUUGUCUUGUUGCUUUCAAUAAAGUAGUUUGUCUUGUUGUCAUAAUGAUGUUUCGCUUUAUGUUUGCAUAAUUAUUAAAGUUUACUUUUACUUUAAUACUUUUGUCCAAGUCAUGCUUUAAUUAUUAAAGCACUUUUGUCUUUUGUAAUAAUUAAAGUUGUGCAAUUAUGUAAAAGAUAGGGGUCCUGUCCUAUCUUCUCACGAAUCCUCCUCUAUAUAAAGGAUUCUCCCCUUGCUUGUAAGAUAUAGAAGUUCCUCUAUAUAAAGGAUUCUCCCCUUGCUUGUAAGAUAUAGAAGUUUGAAAGAAAAAACUCGUGUUUUUCUCUUACACCAUGAAUCCCUAAAACUCUUCUCUCUCUCUGCAAAUGAAGUCCUAAGAAAGAAACAGAAUAAAGAAUUAAAUUUGUUCAUUUUGAAAACCUAAGGAAGUAUGCUCUGCACUUGCCUUUUCUAAGGAUCCUGUGCAUCAGAAAACUUUUGAUCAUUUCUUAUCUGGUUUGGUACCCUGUUUUAGACUAAAGGAAAGUCUGUUUUGGGUUGUAUAACCUGAGAAAAAUGUUUUAAAGGUUUUUGAUUACAGAGGUAUAUCGGCUGGAAACCCGAGCUUGCGGACUACUGGUCCAAAGAACAGUUUUAACUGUUGUAGUUCUGGUAUAACAACGCCACGUACUUCACCCCAACUGGUAUCAGAGCCAUACCCAUCCUUGAAAAUUUCAUGUUUUCUAAAUUCACGAUUUCUUGCCCAAAAUGGUAUAAUUUAAGGCUUUUUCUAUUUUGAUCUCUAGAACUUCAGGCGCAGAGAGACCUUCUCCUUCAUGGCAUCCACUUCCUCUUCACCUCCUGUUACUCUUUCUUCCACUCUUUCUUUACCGAAAUCUUGCACUUCUCAUACUACUAAUAAAAUUGAAAAUCUUGUAGAAUACUCCUACAUCCCUGAAUCCGCCCAAAUCAGUGAAUCUUCUUACCCUCUCCUCAGCCCUUAUCAGUUGUACAAACGACCUAGCUCCUUUACCCGCAGUCUCCGCACCCUUAUCUCUACCAGACGCCCUCACCCUAAAGAAUAUAUCCAGUCUUCUCGCCUGGAUCAGUGUGCUCUUCAAGCCACCUCUGCUGAGCAAUAUGUCACUCUGGAGAUUCCCUCCGAGUUGCUCUCCAACUGGAAACGAGAAGGUUAUACUCAUCUUCAUCUUGGAGGCAUCAGAUUAAUCCUUACCCUUCAUGGGAGAAAAGGAUUACCGGUUACCGCUCGACUUGCUAUGCUUGAUACCCGGUUUAAACAGUACCAAGAUGCUGUUAUCGGUACUGUCCUCACAACCCUUCAUGCAGGAAGUGUUUUACUCACUUUCUAUCCCAAUUUCAAUCUUUCUCUCCAAGACCCCAAUUUGCCCACAACCUUGAAAGUCCAAGUUCAGAUUCAAGGUGCUGAACAAAUUUCUUCUGCAAAAAUUGCCACUUUACAUCACCAACUGGUCUACAGGCUUCAAAAUCAUGCCUUAGAUCUACCCGCUCCAGAACACCACUCUGACACCCUCAUGGUGUUAGCAGAAUCUGACCAGAUCCCGAAGAUUUUCAAUUUUAUUAGUAGUAUGAGAAGUGCAAGAUUUCGGUAAAGAAAGAGUGGAAGAAAGAGUAACAGGAGGUGAAGAGGAAGUGGAUGCCAUGAAGGAGAAGGUCUCUCUGCGCCUGAAGUUCUAGAGAUCAAAAUAGAAAAAGCCUUAAAUUAUACCACCCCCCAGUGCUCCACAAGAGCCUCCUAGGCUCUCCUUUACCUAUUCUUCAAUGAUCACAGCUGUUCAGACAGCGCAGGAAGAUCUGCCCAUUACAGGGUUUAAUUCUCAAGGCUACCCUGUUUAUCCAGCCAAACACAAUGGCCAUUUCCUAUGGGAUGCCCCUGGUUCCGGCAUGUGUGACCCAAAUUGUCCCUGCUGGGAUGAUUGGGAAGAAGACGAUGAUUACGCAACCACAAGGAAAAAGAAACCCAAAAAGAAAAAACCUCCUGUUCCAUGUCACCACUGUGACCCUAAACCACCAUCAGAUCCUCCACCUCCACCGGCUCCAUUACCCAUCUACCGAAAAGAACUCACAUGGAUUGCCAAACAUUGCAAAUCUGCGAUUCCAUCACCACUCUCACACCCAACACCUACCGUCCAACCACUGGCUUGUAUGAUGUUUUCCUCUACUUCUUCAGAUUACUCUUCUUCCUUUCCUCCUUUGGAACCCCAUACAGAUUCUCAACGAAAUGUUGUGUCCAAACCCUUUAUCCCUUCCCCUAUUACCUCCACUGGCCACCUAGAACCUCCCAAACCUUUUGAAUCAGUCCUCAACUGGCAAACCCAAAAUGCUAGAGCACAGAAUGAUACUUUGGUCAAUAUCAAUUCCAAAGUUGAGAAAAUCAGUUUACGAACUGACCAGCUUGAGACAAAGGUUGACUCCAUCUCUGCACAGAUGCAGCAGAUCCACCAAAAUCUCCAGUCCAGAAUUGGCCAACUCGAUUCAGAGUUACGAGCCAUGCUAGCCCACAGAUACAAUGGUCCCGAAUUUGACCAAAAGGAAAGGGAAAUCAGGCGAUUAAAAGCUGAACUUGCUCAGAUUGAAUCUGAAAAACAGAGACCUACCCUUUUCACCAGUUCACCUCUUAUUCCUUCUAUCGGUCCAACUUACCAUCCUUUUGCCUCUAUGCUCUCUCCUAUUAAACAAUAUGACCCUUCCAAGUUAUUUGGCAUGACUCAUACUCUUUUCAGAGACAAUCCUUUGCCACCGCCACCUAAACCUAAACCCAAACCUAGACCACAGCCUCGACCUCCCCCUCUUCAUCCUUCCUCUCUGACCAUCCCUGGCCAACCAUCUCCUACUUUUACACCGACCUCACCACCAGCUCCUUUAUCAGUCCCUGCCCAAUCAAAAGAUAAAGAACCCAUGAACCAAUUUACUGCUCACGCAGUCAUCCAUUCAUCUACUGACGAUCAAACUUCUGAUUCAAAUCUAGCUGUUUCAGAUAGCCAUACCGAAACUGACACAGAAUCUUCAGCAUCCACCAGUGACUCUGAAAAGUCCUAUGCUGAUAUUACCAAAAUCCUGAUGGCUCAACCUGAUCAAGGCCAAACCUCUCAUACAGAACCAUAUGUUGAUAUUCCCUCCGAAGUUGAAGAAGAAAUGCCUGAAUCUUCUGCCACAAACCAACCUUCUCCAGCCCAGCCCAAUCCACCCAGUCACAAAUCGUCAAAUGGUCCAUGGUUCACAUUUGAUGAUCUUCCAUCUCAUAAAUGGCGUGACCGACUCAAUGAAAUGUCUGCCUGGAUUGAUCUACAGAUGCUAAGACCAGGAGCAACAACUCAAUCAGUCCUUAGAGAAUUUGCUACUCGUUUUACGGGUGCUCUAAGAGAUUGGUUUGAUUCGUUAGGACAAUAUCGCCAGUUACAGUUUGUUGACCUUCCAGAAGUUUCAAGUGCUCUUGCUGUACUUCAUGAUCAAUUCCUUGGCGACCCUUCUGCAGUCUUUGAAGCUGCCAGACGAGACUACCUCAACAUGAAAUGCUGCUCCCUCAAUGCUAAGGAUCUUGACUUCCAUUAUAAGCGAAUGUCCCUGCUGUUCUAUAAGCUUAAUGGAUUCAAUGAACCGACAUUAAAGCAUGUCUUUCUGGCUUCCCUCCCCGAAGAACUCCAACCUGACAUCCAGAGACAACUUACAGCAUCCAAUCUUUCCCUAGACAACAUCUCCCUUGGCAAAAUCUUCCAGCUUGCCAAAACCUGCCUUGACAAACUUUGCGAGCAAAAACAGUUUUUCAAAGAACUGUUGAAAGACAAAGAACCUUUCCGCAGUGCUUGCAAAAAGCCUUAUUUACAGAUCAAAUGCCACAAGAAAAAGGAUUGCGAUUGCAGUUCAAAGAAAAAACGGCAUUUUCGAAAAUUCAAAACUCCAGAAUUUUCAUCCAAACCUCGCAGAUCCCGAAAGCCCUACCGGUUCUUCAGAAAGAAAUCUUCCUCCUCCAGAGAAUUCAAACGAAAGCAAUCAAGCAGAUGUUUCAUCUGCAAGAGAAAAGGCCACUAUGCCAAAGAUUGUCCCAACAAAAGAGAAAAGGCCAUCCGGUUGGUUGAACAUCUUCAAGCAACUACAGACUACUCUCCUGCCAAAGAUGAAUUGGAAUUCUAUUUCUCUGAACAAGAUGAACCCAACGAUGAAACAGUGUUCGCACUACAAAAUUCCUCUGACUCAGAUAGUGACCAGUCUCAAGUGAUUUUCCACCAACAGUUACUCUCCCUUGAUACUACAGUUCCUAUCCCAUCCAUCAAACUCCAGAUCUUGCCCUCAAAAUUCCAAAGGCCCAUUCCAGCAAUUGGUCUUAUAGAUACUGGUGCCCAACGAAGCAUGUUGAACCCCCAUAUUCUUCCACCAGAAUAUUGGACCCAGUCCGAAGAACAUUUCAAAGCUGUCAAUGGCAAACUCUUCACCACCUCUUUGAUUACCAAAAAAUCCAUUGGUAUUCAAAUCUUCCCAAAUUGUGUCAUUUGGACCAAGGUUAUUGGUUCCACUCUUCCUAAUAAGGAUAUCUUAUUAGGAUUUGACAUCCUUCACCAAAUCAAACACCUCCAAAUCAUUCCCACUGGAAUCCGAGUCAAGUCCAUGUUCAAACCAUUCACAGACAUUCUGAAACUCUACAAUUUGUCUGAAACUCCCCAGUCUUACCAGGAUAUUUCAACCAAACUUUUGAGUUUCUGUCCAGAGUCCCAUUCUGAGUUCACCCAUCCAAAUCCAUUGUGGAAAAAUAAGUCUUUCUUCAUUAAGUUACCCUUCAAACUCAAUGAAGACAUUAACCCAACUAAAGCUACCCAUCCAGGAAUGAGUCCUUCUGACUUACUCCUAGCCCAACAAGAAUGUUCACAAUUGUUAGCCCAAGGUUUAAUUGAGCCCACAAGUUCCCAAUGGGCUUGCCAAGCCUUUUAUGUUGAAAAACAUUCUGAAAUUGUCCGAGGAAAGAAACGCCUAGUCAUUGAUUAUCAGCCCCUAAACAUGUUUUUACAAGAUGACAAGUUUCCAUUACCCCGCAGACAAAGCAUGUUUACUUUUCUUAAAAAUGCCCAGAUCUUUUCAAAAUUUGAUUUAAAAUCUGGUUUUUGGCAACUAGGCAUUGAACCCUCCGAACGUUACAAAACCGCUUUUUGUAUUCCCAAUGCCCAUUUCCAAUGGACCGUCCUACCCUUUGGCCUCAAAACUGCCCCCUCCAUUUUCCAAAAAUCCAUGGUCCAAAUCUUCCAGCCCAUUUUGCAUCAUGCAUUGAUUUACAUUGACGAUAUUUUACUUUUUUCAGGAUCGCAUGAAGAACAUCGCCACCUAUUGUCCCAAUUCUAUGAUAUUAUCCAAAGUCAUGGAAUCAUGUUAUCGGCCAAGAAAAGCACCAUUGCUACAGAUAAUAUUGAAUUCCUUGGUAUGAUCAUUAAAGAUGGACACUACCAGCCAGGAAAGCACAUUGCCCAAGAAUUGCUUCACUUUCCAGAUCAGCAACUUUCCAAAAGGCAAAUCCAACAGUUUCUCGGCAUUAUCAAUUACAUCCGUGAUUUCCUCCCACAUGUGGACCAUCACACUCAUCAUCUCUCGGCUUUAUUGAAAAAGAAGCCCCCAGAAUGGAAUGCUGACCACACACGUGCUGUCACUACUCUCAAGCAGAUUGCGCAAAAUCCGCCUCCUUUAAAGUUGAUUACUGAUGGCAAGCGCAUAUUACAGACAGACGCAAGUGAUGAAUCAUGGGGUGCCAUCCUCCUCGAAGAACUCAAUGACAAGGAACACUUUAUCGCUUACGCUAGUGGACAUUUUUCUGAAACACAGAAGCACUACCAUAGCGUGUUUAAAGAAAUCUUAGCGGUAAAGAAUGGCAUCAAAAAGUUUGAGUAUCAUCUGAUUGGACACCAUUUUCUCAUCCGAAUGGACAGCUCAGCCUUCCCCAAUAUCUUUCAUUUCAAAGGUAAAACUGUUCCCGAAAAAAUGUUACUCAGAUUAAAAGAUUGGUUUUCCAAAUAUGACUUUUCAGUCAAGCAUAUAAAGGGAUCCCAGAACCUCAUCCCUGAUAUGCUCUCCAGACUCUCUAAACCACAAGACCCUCUCACCCUGUUUUCCACCACCUACCAUUUUCCGAUUAUCUCCAUGGCUACCUCACUACCCCCAGAAGCUCUCACCAAGAAAACUUUUCCCUUCAACAAAACCUUCUCUUCUGUUUUUGAUAUCCAAGAAUUUGCAAGAAAAGCUCUCUUUCGCUUUUUCAUGAAAGCCUACCUUGUCACCGACCCUUUUCCUUUUUCCACUUUCCACCCAGAAAAUCUGUUCCUUACAGGUUUAACCCUUGAUCCGACCAGAGACACCACUGAAGACGUGUUAUGGUACAUCUGGUGCCUAACAGUCCUUUACGCAACCAAGUUAGUCCUCCCCAUUUCUCCCACUCUGGACCACCUCCUUAAUCCAGAUAACGCCACCUCCCUUACCUGGACCCUACUUGAAUGGUUCUCCCCCAUCCCAUGGUGGAGAAAGAAACUGCAACAACUGUCCGAAAUUUACAACCUUGACCGUAUGCCUGCCCCUGAAGCACAAAUGUUCACAUCAGUUUUUAUUAUUCACAGGCCAUACUUCCAACAUCCAGACACCCAUCUCUUUUGGACUCAAGAUCAGGUAUAUGAAUGGUUCACUGCACCACAUAUAGCUGUGAUUGAAAAUGACAUACAAGACGUCCUGCACAAUUACCUUUGCCAAUUAAACCACCAACCUCCGCCACUUAAAGAUAUCUCUCACACCUCCUUAGGUCCACAACAUGACCUUCUCAUGAUACCCACUCCAUCUGCUAUAUCUAAACCUAAGUCCACUGGCAUCAUCAUCAAAGAAGAACGACCAGACUACACUGACUUUCUUUACCAAGACUCACAAGAUCCAUGGGAAGAUUUUCUUCCUCUGAGCCAACACCUCCACCAGUUUCCCCAACCAACAAUGGAUGAACCUGGCCCCUCCGUACCAGGACCCUCAACCCAAUCUUCCAAACGACCAGCUCAACCAUCCAAAGUUGACAAAGCCACCCAAACUUCCCCUAAGUAUACUCCGAAGUGUACUCCCAGAGACUAUAAUUGCCCUUAUCCACCAUGCCGUGGUCCCUCCUGUAAGCAUCCAAAGCUCUCCAAAACAUUCUUCCAAAAGCAUCCUCACUCUGGUGAUACGGACCCAGAUGAGACCGAAAGCUCAUCCGAAGACGAAUACAUGAAUCUCCGCUCUCCAUAAAGUUGUUUGUCUUGUUGCUUUCAAUAAAGUAGUUUGUCUUGUUGUCAUAAUGAUGUUUCGCUUUAUGUUUGCAUAAUUAUUAAAGUUUGCUUUUACUUUAAUACUUUUGUCCAAGUCAUGCUUUAAUUAUUAAAGCACUUUUGUCUUUUGUAAUAAUUAAAGUUGUGCAAUUAUGUAAAAGAUAGGGGUCCUGUCCUAUCUUAUCUUUUACUUUUACUUUUGAAAACGAUAGGGGUCCUGUCCUAUCUUCUCAAGAAUCCUCCUCUAUAUAAAGGAUUCUCCCCUUGCUUGUAAGAUAUAGAAGUUUGAAAGAAAUAAACUCGUGUUUUUCUCUUACACCAUGAAUCCCUAAAACUCUUCUCUCUCUCUGCAAAUGAAGCUCUAAGAAAGAAAAAGAAUAAAGAAUUAAAUUUGUUCAUUUUGAAAACCUAAGGAAGUAUGCUCUGCACUUGCCUUUUCUAAGGAUCCUGUGCAUCAGAAAACUUUUGAUCAUUUCUUAUCUGGUUUGGUACCCUGUUUUAGACUAAAGGAAAGUCUGUUUUGGGUUGUAUAACCUGAGAAAAAUGUUUUAAAGGUUUUUGAUUACAGAGGUAUAUCGGCUGGAAACCCGAGCUUGCGGACUACUGGUCCAAAGAACAGUUUUAACUGUUGUAGUUCUGGUAUAACAACGC
rnacentral:lncRNA from 1 species